UGUGGCUCAGUGGUAGAGCACUUGCCUAGCAUGCGUGAGGCACUGGGUUCAAUCCCUGGCA
rnacentral:tRNA from 1 species